rnacentral:tRNA from 1 species
GGACGUAGUUCAGUUGGUUAGAACGCCGGCCUGUCACGUCGGAGGUCGCGGGUUCGAGAUCACUUACAGGUACUUCA